AUGUACACCAUCACCUUGGGCAUGCUUGUGCCGCUGCCGCUCGGCCUCAACAUGUCCUGGAGUGCCAUUAGCGCCGCCCUCACGCUCAUCUUCCUCGACUUCAAGGACGCUCGCCCCUGCCUCGAGAAGCUGUGGGUUAAUGUUGGUGGUUUUGUUCUACUUGGAUGCAUUGGUACCCGUCAUCGAGUGAACGGAUGCAACAGCGGCAAGAAGCUCAUGGCUAUGUGCAUCUAA
rnacentral:rRNA from 1 species